CAGAGAGGAGGUCAGAGUGAAGCAAUCUAAGAAGGACUUAUCUGUUGUUGCUGGUUUUGAAGAUGGAGGAAGAAGCCACAACUCAAGGAAUGCAGAUGGUCUCUAAAGCUGGAAAAGACAAGGAAACUGAUUUUUUCCCAGAGCCUCCAGAAGGGAACACAGCCCUCUUGACGCUUGAGUUUUAUUUAGCCCAGUGAGUCCUGUCUGGACCUUUUAACUACAGAGCUGUAAGAGAAAUUUGUGUUGUCUAAAGCUACAAAGUUUGUGGUAAUUUGUUAUAGCAGUGAUAGAAAACUAAUACAGCCACCUUAGAUGUGCAUACUUCAGGCCCCGCAAAACUUUUAUCUUCCGCUGACAGGGAAUAUAAAGAGUACAGGCUUUGAAGUUGGAAAACCUGGUCUCGUAACUUACUUGCUGUGUUACUGUAGGCAAAUCGCUGAACUCUUCCAGGCCUUAGUUUCUUCACAGGUACAUUGGAGAUAAUACCUACAAACCUGAUCUAUUGUGCAGAUCAAAAGAGAAAGUGAUUAAUAAAACUUGGAAAGUGCUCUAAAAAAAAAA
rnacentral:lncRNA from 1 species